rnacentral:lncRNA from 1 species
ACAGGAAACUGCAUGCUUAUUGCUCAAAAGCACCUCAUGAAUGCAAUUAAAGCAAAGGCAAAGAGGGGAGCCAAAGCAGAUCUUUGAACUUGGAUUGGCUGCAAAGUUGUGAUCACAACCUCAUCAUGUCCCUACUAAUAUUGUGUGCCAUUAUAGGGAGUACACACAAAUGUAAGGAAAUAAUGCACAUGAAAAUCAAAGAAGACUAUACACAAAUGCAAAAGCAAAUACAUGUACUCAUUAAAGCUCAACAGUAUUAUAGGAGUUCAAAGCAUAGGUAAAUUAGUACUGUUGAUAGGCAUG